rnacentral:tmRNA from 1 species
ACCGGUUUCGACGUGGGUUGCGAACCUUCAGGGGCGUACCGAGGUGCAGUGCCCUCGUAAAUCACUCUGCAAACUUAUAGUUGCUAACGACGACAACUACGCCUUAGCCGCCUAAUCGCGGUUGACCUCCGACCGGUUCGUGCCUGUGCGACUGAAUCGGGGGACGCGUUCACAGGAUCGCGAUCCGCGCGUGCGACGGGCCGGAUCGUUAAGAGUCACCGUCCGCUGGCGCGGCGUCUUCCCUGCCCCUCGGGUAGCGCAGCGUGAGAACCAAAGAGCGGGCUACGUACGUAGAUCCUGAAGUCUAGGACUUGCGGACGGGGGUUCGAUCA